UAUGUCCAGGAGCCAAACUGCAAAAGAAGGAAAAAAGAUUAGUGAACCAUCCGCCUCUAGUUCUCAUUCAUUAUAUUCCUAAGAAGUAAACAAUCACUUUUCGCAGUUUGAUAUUCUUGAGUGGAAUAGAAAGAGGAGUGGAGAAAAAAGAGUAUUCUUUUCCCAGUUUCGACCCAAGAUUAGUAGAUGUAGUUUUACGAUAAAACGUUUACUCGCCUUUUUGGAUUAUACUCCCUCUCACUUUCCCGUAGGAAGAAAAUAUUAUACUA
ensembl:ncRNA C40C9.16 ncRNA